AGCGAACGCUGGCGGCAGGCCUAACACAUGCAAGUCGAACGGACCCUUCGGGGUUAGUGGCAGACGGGUGAGUAACACGUGGGAACGUGCCUUUAGGUUCGGAAUAGCUCCUGGAAACGGGUGGUAAUGCCGAAUGUGCCCUUCGGGGGAAAGAUUUAUCGCCUUUGGCGCGGCCCGCGUGUGAUUAGCUAGUUGGUGGUGUCACGGACCACCAAGGCGACGAUCAGUAUCUGGUCUGAGAGGAUGAUCAGCCACAUUGGGACUGAGACACGGCCCAAACUCCUGCGGAAGGCAGCAGUGGGGAAUCUUGCGCAAUGGGCGAAAGCCUGACGCAGCCAGGCCGCGUGAAUGAUGAAGGUCGUAGGAUUGUAAAAUUCUUUCACCGGGGACGAUAAUGACGGUACCCGGAGAAGAAGCCCCGGCUAACUUCGUGCCAGCAGCCGCAGUAACAC
rnacentral:rRNA from 1 species